GAAGGUAUAGCCCAAUGGUAGAGUACAUGCUUGGCAUGCACGAAGUCCUGAGUUCAAUCCCCAGUACUUCCA
rnacentral:tRNA from 1 species